AAUCUAGAAAGGAUUUAUCAGUUUUAAAUUAACUGAAGAAGAAUUUACUUAGAUUAUAUUGUCCCUAAGGUCCACUUCUUGGAGAAUUUCAACAGAGUAUCACAACUUAAUAUUGCUAAAUCGCUACUGAGAUCUGAUUUUGAUCCAUUUAUAAAAUUAUCUAUUUCUUGUCAGGCACACACCAACUAUGGUCAUAAUUCGUGAAUCACAUGUUGAAAAGAUGGGCAAAAUUCAAGAUGUUGCAUAUGAGAUUUUGAAUGUUAUAGAAUUUAAAAGGAAGCACCAGUCUGUGGUGUGUUGAUACCCAAAUGGAAGACUUGUUCUUUAUUGUAAGGGUGCUGAUACUGUGAUAUAUGAAAGAUUGGGUGAUGGAAAUCAUGAUACGAAAAGAUUGACCAAGAAGCAUUUAGAACAAUUUGGAUCUGCUGGCUUACGUACACUAUGUUUGGCCUACCGAGAACUAAGCACUGAGUUAUAUGAAAAAUGGAAUGAGAAAUUUAUUCAAGCCAAAUCUUCUUUACGGGAUCGUGAGAAAAAACUUGAUGAGGUAUGUCAGCUAACUAUUUUCCACAGUGCAGAUGUUUCUGCCUAUUAUUUGAAAUUAAAUUAUAUGCUUAGUAA